GAUGAACGCUGGCGGCGUGCCUAAUACAUGCAAGUCGAGCGAACGGACGAGAAGCUUGCUUCUCUGAUGUUAGCGGCGGACGGGUGAGUAACACGUGGAUAACCUACCUAUAAGACUGGGAUAACUUCGGGAAACCGGAGCUAAUACCGGAUAAUAUUCUGAACCGCAUGGUUCAAAAGUGAAAGACGGUCUUGCUGUCACUUAUAGAUGGAUACGCGCUGCAUUAGCUAGUUGGUAAGGUAACGGCUUACCAAGGCAACGAUGCAUAGCCGACCUGAGAGAGUGAUCGGCGACACUGGAACUGAGACACGGUCCAGAGUCCUACGGGAGGCAGCAGUAGGGAAUCUUCCGCAGUGGGCGAAAGCCUUGCGGAGCAGCGCCGCGUGAGUUGUGGAGGUCUUCGGAUCGUAAAACUCUGUUAUUAGUGAAGAACAUAUUUGUAAGUAACUGUGCACAUCUUGACGGUACCUAAUCAGAAAGCCACGGCUAACUACGUG
rnacentral:rRNA from 1 species